CGUAAGGCCUUGAGGCAAAAGUCAGCUUACGAAUCGUGUCAGGUCCGGAAGGAAGCAGCACUAAGUAUCCUUGAUUUUGUGCCUCUUGUUUUUUAUAA
rfam:Lactobacillus senioris DSM 24302 = JCM 17472 strain DSM 24302 NODE_26, whole genome shotgun sequence.